CAAAAACAUUCUGUUUCAAACCCUAAUUUCCCGUCCGUACGCCAUCUUCCUGCUAAAUCUUCCGGCGCGUCUCAUUUCGAUUAAUCACUUUUCUUUUCGAGGUUCGUCGAUCAUUCGAUCAUCGCCGUCAGAUCAAUUUUUCGGUUUAUUAAUCGUUUGUUGUGGAUUUUGAGGGGGAGAUCGGGGUUUAGGUUACGGAUUCGGAUCCGAGGGGAAAAUAUGAGUAAUCAGAAGAAGAGAAACUUUCAGAUAGAGGCGUUUAAGCACCGGGUCGUGGUGGAUCCAAAAUACGCUGAUAAGACCUGGAAGAUUCUGGAACAUGCUAUCCAUGAGAUUUACAAUCACAACGCUAGUGGCCUUAGUUUUGA
rnacentral:misc_RNA from 1 species